rnacentral:tRNA from 1 species
GCGGCAGUAGCUCAGUCGGUAGAGCAUUGGCUUCCCAAGCCAAGGGUCGCGGGUUCGAAUCCCGUUUGCCGCU